GUGUGUAUGGUGUAAAACAACACACUAGCUUUUCAUGCUAGAGAUAUAGUUAUAUUACACAC
rnacentral:tRNA from 1 species